rnacentral:rRNA from 1 species
AUUGAACGCUGGCGGCAGGCCUAACACAUGCAAGUCGAGCGGAUGAAGGGAGCUUGCUCCUGGAUUCAGCGGCGGACGGGUGAGUAAUGCCUAGGAAUCUGCCUGGUAGUGGGGGAUAACGUCAGGACACGGGCGCUGAUACCGCAUACGUCCUGAGGGAGAAAGUGGGGGUUCUUCGGACCUCACGCUAUCAGAUGAGCCUAGGCCGGAUUAGCUAGUUGGUGGGGUAAAGGCCUACCAAGGCGACGAUCCGUAACUGGUCUGAGAGGAUGAUCAGUCACACUGGAACUGAGACACGGUCCAGACUCCUACGGGAGGCAGCAGUGGGGAAUAUUGGACAAUGGGCGAAAGCCUGAUCCAGCCAUGCCGCGUGUGUGAAGAAGGUCUUCGGAUUGUAAAGCACUUUAAGUUGGGAGGAGGGGCAGUAAGUUAAUACCUGGCUGUUUUGACGGUACCAACAGAAUAAGCACCGGCUAACUUCGUG